rnacentral:rRNA from 1 species
GACGAACGCUGGCGGCGUGCUUAACACAUGCAAGUCGAGCGGUAAGGCCCUUUCGGGGUACGACGAGCGGCGAACGGGUGAGUAACACGUGGGUGACCUGCCCUUACGCUCUGGGAUAAAGCCUGGGAAACUAGGGUCUAAUACCGGAUAUGACUCCAUGACGCAUGUUGUGGGGUGGAAAGCCUUGUGCGGCUAGGGAUGGGCCUGCGGCCUAUCAGCUUGUUGGUGGGGUGAUGGCCUACCAAGGCGACGACGGGUAGCCGGCCUGAGAGGGCGACCGGCCACACUGGGACUGAGACACGGCCCAGACUCCUACGGGAGGCAGCAGUGGGGAAUCUUGCGCAAUGGGCGAAAGCCUGACGCAGCGACGCCGCGUGGGGAUGACGG